UACGGAGGGGGCCAGCGUUGUUCGGAAUCAUUGGGCGUAAAGGGCGCGUAGGCGGCUUUGUAAGUCCGUUGUGAAAUCCCUCGGCUCAACCGAGGAACUGCGACGGAUACUGCUUGGCUUGAGUCCCGGAGAGGGUAGCGGAAUUCCCAGUGUAGCGGUGAAAUGCGUAGAUAUUGGGAGGAACAUCGGUGGCGAAGGCGGCCAUCUGGACGGAUACUGACGCUGAGACGCGAAAGCGUGGGGAGCAAACAGG
rnacentral:rRNA from 1 species